CAAGAAGUAUGGCAAGGUGGUGUACGGAAGCGGUAUUCAGAACCCCCCAGCGCAGAGGCAGAUGAUGAUGCCGAGAGCUUGACUUGUUGCAGCGAAAUCAGCUUGUAAGGAGGGUGCUUUCAUUAGCAUGUUAUUCGAUGAUUGAAAUUUUACCAUGAUUUUUUUUUUUUUGUGAUUUAGGAGUCUAUUUACCUUCAAUUUCAUGGUUUUUUUUGUUGUUUUAGGAGUCUAUUUGCCAUCAACUUGCUUUUAAUAAGAUUUUUUUCUUUCAAUUCUGUUGGAUGGAUUUUAUAUAGUUGUGUGUAUGGUCUACAAAUAUUGUGGAAUAUGACGAUACUGGUCCUUUGCUUUAUUGGCAAUAAAGGAUGUUGCAAUCCCUCAAGUUUAUGA